rnacentral:lncRNA from 10 species
GGUUUAUCCCACUGCCUCAUUUAACCCCCAAGGAGGUCUGUUACAGCAGCCAGCCCUGCACGCCUUCCCCAACAGCCUCGCUGGGGCAGUUCAUGGUUCAAAGCCUACAGCCCUCCAUCUGAGUUACUAGACUCAUAUAUAGGCUGUACCUUCUGCCCAUGGCUGUGGGGAACCAGGACUGCAGAGGAAGCAUGUGAGUGAAGCCACCGGAAGCAAGCAAAUGGAACAAAACCAGCACCACGACCACCACCACCACCACCACCACCAUCACCACCAUCACCACAAUACAAAUACUCUCUUUGAUUGGUCCUCUGGGUAGAUAAAAU